UACGGAGGUGGCGAGCGUUGUCCGAAGUUACUGGGCGUAAAGAGCGUGUAGGCGGUUUGGUAGGUCCGUUGUGAAAACUCGAGGCUCAACCUCGAGACGCCGAUGGAAACCAUCAGACUAGAGUCCGGAAGAGGAGAGUGGAAUUCCUGGUGUAGCGGUGAAAUGCGCAGAUAUCAGGAAGAACACCCGUGGCUAAGGCGGCUCUCUAGUACGGUACUGACGCUGAGACGCGAAAGCGUGGGGAGCGAACAGG
rnacentral:rRNA from 1 species